GCUAUUAACACUAGAAGGGUUUUCUUCCCCCCGUGCCUCUUUCACUCAGUCAAUGUGUCUCUCAGCCAUCACUCCCUCACCCGUCACUGCUGUUCACUAAUCUCUCUCAAUGCACCUCCCUCACUUUGUCUCUCAAUCAUCCAUCACUUCACUCUCAUAGCUGGGAGCGCCGCAGCCUUGAAGUCGUGCAACUUCUCAGCCUUGCAACGCCUUGCAGCCCCACAGUCCUGCCGUCGAGCACUUGCCCGCCUCACUGUCUCGACAAUCGACAACUGUCACAAAGAUGAAGUCAAAUGCAUCAAAGGCCUCAAGCUCAAGCUCAAACUCAAUGAGAUCAAAAUCAUCAAAUAGAAGGACAUUGUUUGUGAAUCAACUCUGCCUCAACUCUCCAUGGUGGCACCUCAACAAACUCCUCAUCCUCAUGGUGGACCCAAAAAUUCUUUUGAUGCAACUCCAAAAAAAGGUGGUUCAAGUGAUCAAGUAAGUAAAGAAUAAGCUCUCUUGGAUUCACUAAAAAAAUCAUGAAAGGUCUACAAUUUGAGAGCACUUUAAUAGGAUAAUUAAGGGAGGUAGAGUUAAGAGGUGUGCAAGUAUUGCAACAAACCAUUUAUGGCCGAUACGGAUAAAAAUGGUACAACUAGUAUAAUAAAUCACUUGGCAAGGUGUAGAAGCUACGGUCCUAAUAAGGAAAUAUUUGUCCAAAUAGGCAAAAAAUCUUAACUUUUGCAGGCACGAAAGAUAAGUUGGAAGCUAUAAGUUUUUCUCAAGUGGAAGUUACUAAGACUUGUGUUGAGAUGAUAAUUAUAGACGAGUUACCUUUUUCUUUCGCCGAGGGAGAUGAUUUUCAUAAUUUUUGCAUGCAUGCAUGUCCUUUGUGGAGAGUGCCUAGUCGUAAGACAAUAGCUAAAGAAGUACUUGGCUUGUUUUAUUCUGAAAAGGAGAAAUUGAAAAGUCAGUUGAAGACAUUUAGGGUGUCUAACAAUAGAUACAUGGACUUCUAUUCAACAAACAAAUUACAUGAUUCUCACCGCGCAUUUUAUUCAUGAUGAUUGUAUGUUACAUAAAAAGAUUUUGAACUUUUGUGUCAUUGCAAAUCAUAAAGGAGAAUCCAUUGCUCAACUUUUGGAGGAAUGUUUGGUGGAGUGGGGCAUAGAGAAGGUGUUAACUAUUAUAGUUGACAAUGCUUCUACAAAUGAUUUUGGCUUAAGGGAUCUAGUGCACCGAAUAAGUGGGUAUGAUUCCUAAUGCACUUUUGCAUGAUGGAAAAUAUUUGCAUAUGAGGUGUUGCUCAUAUCCUUAAUUUGGUUGUAAAUAAUGGGAUAAAGUUGUUGAAUACUGCUAUAUAAAAUUGUUGAAAUUGAAUUUUUUUUCACUACACAGUUCUUUCAUCUGUUUUAUUUAAUAAUAAUAUUGUUUUUGAGUAUGUAUUGUGAAACUUGUUGUUUUAAUACUUAUUUCAUAUCCAGAUUGGAUCUGUCUGAUCUCAACCAUUCAUGUCUCCUGGAUCCAACCUAGAGAUUGAAAUUUUGAACGUUGUGUUGCAAUCUUUUGUGUGAGAGAUAUAAAGUUAACUUGAAUGACCCUUUUUGUCAUGCGUUGAAGAUUGAAAAUAAAUAGUUUUGAAUACAUAUCAAAUCUAAGUAAAGUGAUUCACAGAAGCAAUAGAUUAUAUAUAUAAACUGAAUUGAUUGUACAACUAAUAAAAAUGUCUGAAAGCGAGAACACAAUAAGUCAAACAAAAACAAAACCACAAGAAAAUAAAAAAUAAAAAACACAUUAGAAAUGCUCCCAAGUUUCAACUGCCACUCACUCAACUCAGUCUCAAAGUGCACUCGAUAAAAUCUCAGACAUCUUGACAUUGUCCAUUUUAAACAAGUGGGACAUUAGAUCCGCAAAGAAAUAAGUUAAUGCCAUAUUGAGAUUCUCAUCAUCAACUCCCUCCCACUGCAAGGAAAGAAAAACACAUAUCAACUACAAACAAA